UCACCACAACGAGCUAUUGGCAGCCCUCAAAAGGGGCCAUAAGGGAAAACGGUGCAAAGCCGUUGCGGACCCGCCGCUGUGAUCGGGGACGAAAGCCGCCGGUAUGCCACUAUCCAAUGGGGUGGGAAGGUUCGGCGAGUAGGUUGAUCCGAGAGUCAGAAGACCUGCCUGUAGCGUUAUAGCCGCG
rnacentral:ncRNA from 1 species